GAUGAACGCUGGCGGCGUGCUUAACACAUGCAAGUCGAACGGAAAGGCCCAAGUUUGCUUGGGUCCUCGAGUGGCGAACGGGUGAGUAACACGUGGGUGAUCUGCCCUGCACUUCGGGAUAAGCCUGGGAAACUGGGUCUAAUACCGGAUAGGACGUUGGUUUGGAUGCCUUGGUGGAAAGUUUUUUCGGUGUGGGAUGAGCUCGCGGCCUAUCAGCUUGUUGUGGGGGUAUUGGCCUACCAAGGCGUCGACGGGUAGCCGGCCUGAGAGGGUGUACGGCCACAUUGGGACUGAGAUACGGCCCAGACUCCUACGGGAGGCAGCAGUGGGGAAUAUUGCACAAUGGGCGCAAGCCUGAUGCAGCGACGCCGCGUGGGGGAUGACGGCCUUCGGGUUGUAAACUCCUUUCGCUAGGGACGAAGCGUUUUGUGACGGUACCUGGAGAAGAAGCACCGGCUAACUACGUG
rnacentral:rRNA from 1 species